rnacentral:lncRNA from 1 species
AAAAACGUCUCUUGGGUCGAACCCAAUAAACAAAACCUAAGAAACAAAACCAGCAAAAGCAGGCUUACAUCAAUUUAGCCCACCUUAAGUAAAAUAAUAAAAUAAACAAAUUCAAAAUUCCAGUUGAUCGGUCAGUUGUCUUCAUAAAUCCAUCUGCCUUUUCCUCUGCCCAUGACAACUGAAAAGUAAAAGCAAAUCCUUUCAAAUCUUUUACUUAUCAGAUUACUUUUACAAACAGCAUCCUCCCUUUCAUUUCAAUCGUUCAUUUCUUGAUGCCAAAAGCCAAAAUCUUAUCCCCUUUCCUUUCUACUCUGGAUUACCCAAACAGCUUGGCUCCGAGUCUUCACCAAUCGAUCUUAAGGUCUCUCCCUCUAGGUACUGUUCCACUCCCGUUUGAAGUGUUCUUUUUGCUAGUCUGUGUGCUUCAAUAUUUUCAGACCUUGAGUUGAAGUAAAAUCUGAUUUUGUGGAAUAAAUCUUUGAAGCUUUGAAUAUCGCUGAUAAUUGCUCCUAUUUCUGAUCUGUCCCGGUUUCCACUUUGACAUUUUGUUAUCACUGUUUUUGAAUCUCCUAUUAUAUCCAAAGUAUAAUAUUCCAACUGGAUCCCUAACCUUGUUGCUUGAAAUCCUGCAUAUGCUUCCGCCGCAAACGGAGAUGCAACAUUGUCAUGAAGGAUCGAUUUUGCUCCAACGAUUCUGCCCGCCUCAUUUUUAACAACAAGACCUGACGCAGGUCUGUGGUUUUGUGAAUCAAACGCUGCAUCGAAAAAGAUGGCCUUAUUCGCCCUUUGUAUCCACUGUCUAGGCCUUGUACUGGUUGCCAAAGUGAGUACCCUUUCUUUAACACCUUCUAGUUCUGAAAUAUAACUUUGAAUUUGCUUCGAUAUAUCCCAACUGGUACUAUAUUUUCCUUCAUAUAUAAACUUAUUUCUGCUUAUCCAGAUUCCCCAUAGCCCGCAGCAAAAUCCCAUGCACUGUUCAUUUGUCCCUUUUCUGAAUACCCAGAUAAGCCAACUCCAUAUAUCACCAUGAUUGUCAUUAAGUACCCAAGAAAAGUUCAAAUGACUCCAUAUUUCUUUUGCUAUAGGACACAUUUGGAAGACGUGGAUGCUAUCUUCUUCGCCCUGGCUACAUCUCAAACAACGGACCUCAGUCAUUACUCUUCUCGAUUUUAGAUUAGAGAAAGUGGAUAUGUAAUUCCACGUUAUUCUCCAUACUGUAAUUUUAAUUUUUGAGGGCAACUGUAGAUUCCAUAAUUUCUUGUAGAAAUUUUUUGUAUCAGUCUGUAAAUAAGCAUUAGUUCUUGGGCAGUCUUUGAAAAGACUCCAGUAGCCUCCCCUCUCCAUACUUGGAUGUCUUCUUGGGCAGUCUUUGAAAGUGGAAUCCGCAGAAUCUUCUUUGCGAUAUCUGUAUUAAAGGUAUUGACAAUCAAGUCUCUUUUCCAUGUUCUACUCUCUGCAUUGAUUAAGUCGGCCACUACUCUGAUACUUUCACUUCUGCUGUUAUUCUGUAAUCUAUCUUCUGCUGUUAUGCUGUUUUUUUUUUUUUUCAAAUUAGUUAAUGUUACGAUAUUUUAGAAAGAAUGUAAAAAAAUAUUUUAUUAUAAAUUGUUGUUAAUAUUUUAAUAUAUAAAAUAUAAAAUUUAAAUAUUUUAAAGUAA